rnacentral:rRNA from 1 species
ACUAAGCGUACACGGUGGAUGCCCUGGCAGUCAGAGGCGAUGAAGGACGUGCUAAUCUGCGAUAAGCGUCGGUAAGGUGAUAUGAACCGUUAUAACCGGCGAUUUCCGAAUGGGGAAACCCAGUGUGUUUCGACACACUAUCAUUAACUGAAUCCAUAGGUUAAUGAGGCGAACCGGGGGAACUGAAACAUCUAAGUACCCCGAGGAAAAGAAAUCAACCGAGAUUCCCCCAGUAGCGGCGAGCGAACGGGGAGCAGCCCAGAGCCUGAAUCAGUGUGUGUGUUAGUGGAAGCGUCUGGAAAGGCGCGCGAUACAGGGUGACAGCCCCGUACACAAAAAUGCACAUGCUGUGAGCUCGAUGAGUAGGGCGGGACACGUGGUAUCCUGUCUGAAUAUGGGGGGACCAUCCUCCAAGGCUAAAUACUCCUGACUGACCGAUAGUGAACCAGUACCGUGAGGGAAAGGCGAAAAGAACCCCGGCGAGGGGAGUGAAAAAGAACCUGAAACCGUGUACGUACAAGCAGUGGGAGCACGCUUAGGCGUGUGACUGCGUACCUUUUGUAUAAUGGGUCAGCGACUUAUAUUCUGUAGCAAGGUUAACCGAAUAGGGGAGCCGAAGGGAAACCGAGUCUUAACUGGGCGUUAAGUUGCAGGGUAUAGACCCGAAACCCGGUGAUCUAGCCAUGGGCAGGUUGAAGGUUGGGUAACACUAACUGGAGGACCGAACCGACUAAUGUUGAAAAAUUAGCGGAUGACUUGUGGCUGGGGGUGAAAGGCCAAUCAAACCGGGAGAUAGCUGGUUCUCCCCGAAAGCUAUUUAGGUAGCGCCUCGUGAAUUCAUCUCCGGGGGUAGAGCACUGUUUCGGCAAGGGGGUCAUCCCGACUUACCAACCCGAUGCAAACUGCGAAUACCGGAGAAUGUUAUCACGGGAGACACACGGCGGGUGCUAACGUCCGUCGUGAAGAGGGAAACAACCCAGACCGCCAGCUAAGGUCCCAAAGUCAUGGUUAAGUGGGAAACGAUGUGGGAAGGCCCAGACAGCCAGGAUGUUGGCUUAGAAGCAGCCAUCAUUUAAAGAAAGCGUAAUAGCUCACUGGUCGAGUCGGCCUGCGCGGAAGAUGUAACGGGGCUAAACCAUGCACCGAAGCUGCGGCAGCGACGCUGAUGCGUUGUUGGGUAGGGGAGCGUUCUGUAAGCCUGUGAAGGUGUACUGUGAGGUAUGCUGGAGGUAUCAGAAGUGCGAAUGCUGACAUAAGUAACGAUAAAGCGGGUGAAAAGCCCGCUCGCCGGAAGACCAAGGGUUCCUGUCCAACGUUAAUCGGGCAGGGUGAGUCGACCCCUAAGGCGAGGCCGAAAGGCGUAGUCGAUGGGAAACAGGUUAAUAUUCCUGUACUUGGUGUUACUGCGAAGGGGGACGGAGAAGGCUAUGUUGGCCGGGCGACGGUUGUCCCGGUUUAAGCGUGUAGGCUGGUUUUCCAGGCAAAUCCGGAAAAUCAAGGCUGAGGCGUGAUGACGAGGCACUACGGUGCUGAAGCAACAAAUGCCCUGCUUCCAGGAAAAGCCUCUAAGCAUCAGGUAACAUCAAAUCGUACCCCAAACCGACACAGGUGGUCAGGUAGAGAAUACCAAGGCGCUUGAGAGAACUCGGGUGAAGGAACUAGGCAAAAUGGUGCCGUAACUUCGGGAGAAGGCACGCUGAUAUGUAGGUGAAGUCCCUCGCGGAUGGAGCUGAAAUCAGUCGAAGAUACCAGCUGGCUGCAACUGUUUAUUAAAAACACAGCACUGUGCAAACACGAAAGUGGACGUAUACGGUGUGACGCCUGCCCGGUGCCGGAAGGUUAAUUGAUGGGGUUAGCCGCAAGGCGAAGCUCUUGAUCGAAGCCCCGGUAAACGGCGGCCGUAACUAUAACGGUCCUAAGGUAGCGAAAUUCCUUGUCGGGUAAGUUCCGACCUGCACGAAUGGCGUAAUGAUGGCCAGGCUGUCUCCACCCGAGACUCAGUGAAAUUGAACUCGCUGUGAAGAUGCAGUGUACCCGCGGCAAGACGGAAAGACCCCGUGAACCUUUACUAUAGCUUGACACUGAACAUUGAGCCUUGAUGUGUAGGAUAGGUGGGAGGCUUGGAAGUGUGGACGCCAGUCUGCAUGGAGCCGACCUUGAAAUACCACCCUUUAAUGUUUGAUGUUCUAACGUUGACCCGUAAUCCGGGUUGCGGACAGUGUCUGGUGGGUAGUUUGACUGGGGCGGUCUCCUCCUAAAGAGUAACGGAGGAGCACGAAGGUUGGCUAAUCCUGGUCGGACAUCAGGAGGUUAGUGCAAUGGCAUAAGCCAGCUUGACUGCGAGCGUGACGGCGCGAGCAGGUGCGAAAGCAGGUCAUAGUGAUCCGGUGGUUCUGAAUGGAAGGGCCAUCGCUCAACGGAUAAAAGGUACUCCGGGGAUAACAGGCUGAUACCGCCCAAGAGUUCAUAUCGACGGCGGUGUUUGGCACCUCGAUGUCGGCUCAUCACAUCCUGGGGCUGAAGUAGGUCCCAAGGGUAUGGCUGUUCGCCAUUUAAAGUGGUACGCGAGCUGGGUUUAGAACGUCGUGAGACAGUUCGGUCCCUAUCUGCCGUGGGCGCUGGAGAACUGAGGGGGGCUGCUCCUAGUACGAGAGGACCGGAGUGGACGCAUCACUGGUGUUCGGGUUGUCAUGCCAAUGGCACUGCCCGGUAGCUAAAUGCGGAAGAGAUAAGUGCUGAAAGCAUCUAAGCACGAAACUUGCCCCGAGAUGAGUUCUCCCUGACUCCUUGAGAGUCCUGAAGGAACGUUGAAGACGACGACGUUGAUAGGCCGGGUGUGUAAGCGCAGCGAUGCGUUGAGCUAACCGGUACUAAUGAACCGUGAGGCUUAACC